GAGAAAUAUCCCAACACACCCAUGAGCCAUAAGGAGAUCCUUCAGGUUAUCCAGAAGGAAGGACUCAAGGAGAUCAGAAGUGGGACGUCCCCCCUGGCCUGCCUGAAUGCCAUGUUACACACCAACUCCCGCGGGGAGGAGGGCAUCUUCUACAAGGUGCCGGGACGGAUGGGAGUCUACACCCUCAAG